AUUGAACGCUGGCGGCAGGCCUAACACAUGCAAGUCGAGCGGAUGAAGGGAGCUUGCUCCUGGAUUCAGCGGCGGACGGGUGAGUAAUGCCUAGGAAUCUGCCUGGUAGUGGGGGAUAACGUCCGGAAACGGGCGCUAAUACCGCAUACGUCCUGAGGGAGAAAGUGGGGGAUCUUCGGACCUCACGCUAUCAGAUGAGCCUAGGUCGGAUUAGCUAGUUGGUGGGGUAAAGGCCUACCAAGGCGACGAUCCGUAACUGGUCUGAGUGGAUGAUCAGUCACACUGGAACUGAGACACGGUCCAGACUCCUACGGGAGGCAGCAGUGGGGAAUAUUAGACAAUGGGCGAAAGCCUGAUCCAGCCAUGCCGCGUGUGUGAAGAAGGUCUUCGGAUUGUAAAGCACUUUAAGUUGGGAGGAAGGGCAGCAAGUUAAUACCUUGCUGUUUUGACGUUACCAACAGAAUAAGCACCGGCUAACUUCGUG
rnacentral:rRNA from 1 species